rnacentral:lncRNA from 1 species
GUUCUCGUGGGCAUUCCAUUUCCUAGCAGCAAUGCUCAUAAGUAGGUGUUCGUGCUACCAGUACAAGGUGGGAGAUCUCAACUCCCGGGAUGUGCCCCUAUGUUUACGUCCUCUGGUCUCAGAAGUACCACUUCCACCUUGGGACUCCCUUCGUAAGACCAAGAACCAAAACCCACAAAAGGAAAGAGAGAAUAGUAAUAUGAGUAUAAAAAUCUCAGAAGUUAUCUGUUGGCUGCUAGUUCUAUGCGCAAGGGCUAUUUUGUUAUAGCAAAGGCCAGAGAAAAAGGAGAAGCAGAGCAAUCGAGCA